rnacentral:rRNA from 1 species
AUUGAACGCUGGCGGCAUGCCUUACACAUGCAAGUCGAACGGCAGCAUGGGUGCUUGCACCUGAUGGCGAGUGGCGAACGGGUGAGUAAUGCAUCGGAACGUACCCGGAAGUGGGGGAUAACGUAGCGAAAGUUACGCUAAUACCGCAUAUUCUGUGAGCAGGAAAGCGGGGGAUCGCAAGACCUCGCGCUUCCGGAGCGGCCGAUGUCGGAUUAGCUGGUUGGCGGGGUAAAGGCCCACCAAGGCAACGAUCCGUAGCGGGUCUGAGAGGAGGGUCCGCAACACUGGGACUGAGACACGGCCAAGACUCCUACGGGAGGCAGCAGUGGGGAAUUUUGGACAAUGGGGGCAACCCUGAUCCAGCCAUGCCGCGUGAGUGAAGAAGGCCUUCGGGUUGUAAAGCUCUUUCGGCUGGGAAGAAAUCGCAUCUCCUAAUACGGGGUGUGGAUGACGGUACCAGCAUAAGAAGCACCGGCUAACUACGUGCCAGCAGCCGCGGUAA